rnacentral:rRNA from 1 species
UUGUUCGCCAAACAACUACGAGUAGUAACUUAAAACUUAAAAGACUUGACGGUGCUUCACUACAACCUAGAGGGGCCUGUGCAGUAACCGAUAACCCACGUUUAACCCAACCCCCCCUCGCCAACAGUCUAUAUACCGCCGUCGUAAGCUUACCUUGUGAAAGCUAUAAAGUAAGCCUAAUAACCCCACAUUACACAUUAAAACGACAGGUCGAGGUGUAACCAAUGGGGGGGACUAUCAUGGGCCACACUCUCUUCUUAGAGCACGGACAAUACCAUGAAAAAGUAUUCAAAGAAGGAUUUAGCAGUAAGCCGGGACAUAAUUCCCGCCUGAACAUAACGCAAUGAAGCGUGUACACACCGCCCGUCACCCCUGCAUAA